rnacentral:rRNA from 1 species
UACAGAGGGUGCAAGCGUUGUUCGGAAUUAUUGGGCGUAAAGCGCGUGUAGGCGGCUUGGCAAGUCGGGUGUGAAAUCCCCCAGCUUAACUGAGGAACUGCACGGGAAACUGCCUGGCUUGAGUUCGGGAGAGGGAAGCGGAAUUCCGGGUGUAGCGGUGAAAUGCGUAGAUAUCCGGAGGAACACCGGUGGCGAAGGCGGCUUCCUGGACCGACACUGACGCUGAGGCGCGAAAGCUAGGGGAGCAAACGGG